rnacentral:rRNA from 1 species
UAGGGAAUCUUCCGCAAUGGGCGAAAGCCUGACGGAGCAACGCCGCGUGAGUGAUGAAGGUCUUCGGAUCGUAAAACUCUGUUAUUAGGGAAGAACAAAUGUGUAAGUAACUAUGCACGUCUUGACGGUACCUAAUCAGAAAGCCACGGCUAACUACGUGCCAGCAGCCGCGGUAAUACGUAGGUGGCAAGCGUUAUCCGGAAUUAUUGGGCGUAAAGCGCGCGUAGGCGGUUUUUUAAGUCUGAUGUGAAAGCCCACGGCUCAACCGUGGAGGGUCAUUGGAAACUGGAAAACUUGAGUGCAGAAGAGGAAAGUGGAAUUCCAUGUGUAGCGGUGAAAUGCGCAGAGAUAUGGAGGAACACCAGUGGAGAAGGCGACUUUCUGGUCUGUAACUGACGCUGAUGUGCGAAAGCGUGGGGAUCAAACAGG